UAAGUAUUUAAAAUUGAGUUGUCAAAAAUGGCAUUGUAAACGCACUUCACGUGUUUUAUCCAUGUUUCUUGGCCUCCGACCAAUGGGGAAAGUUAUGAAAACUCACCUAAGCUAGAGGCUACCGAUGUUAUUUCAUGUAUCCUUUCAUUUCACUUUCUCUACUGCGGUCUUCCCCCUGUGCUUUUUUCCCUUAUUGUUUUUAAACUGAAAAUAACUUCCUCCCUAUCUUUUUAAAAGUUUUAAGAAUUUAUUGCAUCGUUUAUAUCGUUGGAUUUUAACAUAUAUCAAACAUUUUAAUAUAUAUCUAUAUCUAGAUAUAUCGUUUCCAUUUGUCUGCGUUAAACAAAGAUCUAAUAUUUAAAAAAAAUGCGUGGAGCUGAUGAAUUAUUAUCACCUUCUGGAAAUGUUAGUAAUGGAUCUGUUAUGAGCCCUCAUCAGAAUCAUGCAGAAAAUAACAAUGAUGCAAAAAAAG